rnacentral:rRNA from 1 species
UACGAAGGGGGCUAGCGUUGUUCGGAAUUACUGGGCGUAAAGCGCGCGUAGGCGGACAUCUAAGUCAGGGGUGAAAUCCCAGGGCUCAACCCUGGAACUGCCUUUGAUACUGGACGUCUGGAGUUCGGGAGAGGUGAGUGGAAUUCCGAGUGUAGAGGUGAAAUUCGUAGAUAUUCGGAGGAACACCAGAAGCGAAGGCGGCUCACUGGACCGGUACUGACGCUGAGGCGCGAAAGCGUGGGGAGCAAACAGG